rnacentral:rRNA from 1 species
UGAGCAAUCUGCCCUUCUCUUCGGAAUAAGCGUUGGAAACGACGUCUAAUGCCGAAUACGACCUCCUUCCGCAUGAUCGGAGGUGGAAAGCUCCAGCGGAGAAGGAUGAGCUCGCGGCCUAUCAGCUAGUUGGUGUGGGUAACGGCCCACCAAGGCGACGACGGGUAGCCGGCCUGAGAGGGUGACCGGCCACACUGGGACUGAGACACGGCCCAGACUCCUACGGGAGGCAGCAGG